AAGGCAGACUGGGCAAUCGCGGUGCUUUCGGGCAGCGAGGAAGGUCCGGACUCCAUAGGGCAGGAUAACGGUUAACGACCGUCCGGUGCUCAGGCGGCGCAAGCUAGUUGAGCGUUGAGGAUUAGGGCCACAGAGACGAGUCUGCAUUGGGGGUGUGCUUUCGGGCGCACUCUGUCACGGUGCUGCCGUGAUGCUGGGUUUGCUAGUCAAAUCCGACAAUGCAGGGUGAAACGCGGCAACCUCUAUCCGGAGCAACACCAAAUAGGCAUACGUGUGACCUUUUGUCACGACGGGCGGCUCGCUCAAGUAUGCGGGUAGGUGGCUAGAGCAUGUCAGCAAUGGCAUGCCAAGAGGAAUGAUUGCCGGCCUAAGUAAUUAGGCUUACAGAAUCCGGCCUACAGGUCUGUCUUGCAC
rnacentral:RNase_P_RNA from 1 species